GGUGGGCAGUGUGUGAUGCAGGCAAAGAAGGGACUGAAGGGGCACAGAAGAGGGACCUCACCCAGCUUGGCAAAGUUGGGAAGGCUUCCUGGAGGGGGUAAAGCAGCAGUGGGCCAGAUUGGCAGGCCCCAGGCUGGAUUGAGGCUCAUUCUCUGCCUUCAUUCUCUCUGUCACUUUGCACUUAACCUUGACUUUUUAUGUUUCCAUCUCCCACAUUAGACUGUACCUAUUGAGGACAGGUGCACAUCUUACUUAUAUUGGGAUCCCAGACACUCAGUUCAGGGCCUGGCAUAAGCCGAUGGUCUAUAAAUACGUAUCACACGGCUGGAAGGAUGGCUGGAUGCCAGAACAAGAAAACUCAAGGGAAGCUGAGGGGGACUGGUGCUAUCAGCCAGACUGACUGAGCCAAAGGAACCCAGGCCGGAGAAGAAAACCAAUAGCAGUGGCUGCCUCAGUGGAAGAAAACGGUGUAGUUAUGGAGCAGGAGUGAGAGGGAGACUAACUCUGUGCCAUUUGCAUCUUUUGAACUUGGAAUCACAUAAGUAAUGGAUGAAAUGAAGGAAUUGAUGAAUGCAGUGGUAGAACAUCCCAGAUGAAGAGGCAGGCUGUGGCCCCAGCAUCUUAUAGAACAGCCCAGGGCCUGAUGACUAUGGGGAAUGACUCCCAAAGGAGUAGCCUGGCAGCUACUGUGUGACCCCACUCCCCUUCCCAAAGCCAACUGGGCCAGUGUGGGACACCUGCUUCAUUUGGGCCAAUCACCUUCUCUUGGGAAUUUGGAGAUUCUUUUCACAUGGCUGGACCUGUCAGGUGCUGUGAGCAGUCACGUUGCCGCCCCCGCCCAUCCGAUAGAAGGCAGAGAAGGCCAGUCUGGGAAGAGAACAGAACAGAGGCAGAGACAGAAGCAGGGAGAUGCCACCCCUGGAUUGCUAAGCCAGGUCAAGUCCUUUCCUGCAUCAGGUUGCUUGAGAUUCCAAGUUCCUUGCAAUCAAUUCCCCAUCCUAGAGUCAAGUGGAUUUCUUGUUGUAAAAAUAGCAUCCUAAUAUAGCAUGUAUCAAAGCGUU